rnacentral:lncRNA from 1 species
AAAGGAAAGGACUGGUAAUCUUCAAAACACUAUUACAGCUACGAUGUUCUCAGAAACAUCCUGACUGGAAUUUCCCAAACUCGCAAGCAUUUCAUGUCUCACCACACAGCCCAAACUAACCCAAACUCUGAGGGAUUGUUUUUCAUCUCCAGAACUGGUGUUCCUUGAUGCAGCUUUUAACUUUCCCACUUCCUGGACAGUCACUUGAUUACAGUUAAGCGCUGGUAACAGUUUCAAAAUCCUUGGUGUCUUUCCUAAUAUUUGGCUCCGGGAUGCAGCAGCCUGCAGACCCACUGCUGCUGUGGGAAGCACUUCUGCUGCCUGGAGACAAAAGGCCAUUUCACAUACUUUGGGCUGCGCCGUUCCCUGCUGUGGCACCAGGUGCUGGGGCAGAUGCUGGGUAAUGGGGAGAUGGGCUUUUCCCAGCCCACCCGCAACAGGUCAUUCAUUUGCUGGCCAGGUCAGUCCUGACCUCGAAGUUCAGUCGGUGGCUGCUGCGCAUGAGCCUGAUCAGCGCCUCCUCCUGCCUCCCGCCUCCUGCUCUCCCCUGGCUGCUGCUGCUCCCGGCGCCGGAGCCGCGCUUUAGAGGUGCGGGACAAAGCGGAUGCGCUGGGAGUACGCCAGGUCCACAACGUAGAGCAGCAGGUUCACGUAGGUGAAGAUGGCAAUGACCAGCUGGCUGUCCCAGGGGCACCGGCCCUUGGCGCAGGAGCUGGGGCGCCGCGCGGAGCCGUACUUGCUGUCAAAGCAGAACACGGGCCAGAUGACGGCUGCGCUCACGUACAGCAGCACGGCCCCCAGGGUGUAGAUGACCACGGAGCGCUCGAAGGGGAACCACAGCAAGGCGGUCUUACCUGUGACGCUGAAGGCCACGACCACCACUGUCACCACGAAGCAGAAGCUGUAGACAGCCACACACCACUGCGUCGCCACGUAUUUGCCGUACUGGCUGUCGUUCACCAGCGCCCCAAAGAUGAUGCAGGCCACGAAGGCCUGCACGAUUUUCAGGAGCCCGGAGACC